rnacentral:snRNA from 1 species
AUACUUACCUGGACGGGGUCGACGGUCGAUCAUGAAGGGCCGUGGCCUAGGCUAGUGAUCCACAUUGCACUUGGUGGAUGCGCUGGCUUACCAUCUCCCCAAGUGGGAGAAUGGACAUUAUAAUUUGUCGGC